CUGAUUUAGGGUUUAGGUCGCGAUCUUUUUACUCUCUGUUUCGAUCUCUCGCUCGCUCUCUCUUACGCAUCCAAAAUACUAUCUAAUAAUAUAGAUCGGACGCCCCCACUCCACUAGCUUCAUCUCCCCCUACCACUUUGGCCGAGCUUUGAAAUUUCUGGUCGAAGUAAGAACCCGAGUGGGAAGUGAAUCGGACGCCCCUCAACGAGCUUUGAAAACAAGAUUGUUAAGAUGGCGUCUGAUUUAGAAAUGGGUGAAAUUUCAAUCAACUCUUCAACCUCGCAUCAAGGAGUCAUGUGUGAGCAUGGUGUGCCAGUUCGGAGCUAUACUUCAUGGACUAAAUCUAAUCCUGGAAAAAGAUUCUUGCGAUGUCGAUUCUGGAAGGAUGAUGAUUGCAAAUGGUUUCAAUGGAUCGACGAUGAACAAACCAAUCGUGAGAAAACAUUAUGUGGUGUUUUGUUGGAUAUUUUAGAACGGAACAAGACAGAAAAAAAAAAAAAGCAAAUGAGAGAUUACUUUAAGAACAAGUGAGGGCUUUUGAAGAAAAAGCUUUAAGGAGAAAACAAAAGAUAUUGAAACUUCAAAAAGACUAUAGAUAUAUAAUGGAAGAGAACCUUCAAUUGAAAAUAAAGCUUCAAUUGAAAAUGAAGUUUGUUAGGGUUUUAAUAGUGUUAGGAUUUAGUUAUUUUUUGUGAAUUGUAUUGGUAACGGAAAAUGACGGUAGUAGAUUUAGGUAUUUGGGUUUAGUGUAAAAUACUGUCUAUGUUGGCAAAACUUUGUUUGUUAUGGGAUUGUUUAGCUUUUAAGUGUUUGCUUUAGUUAUUUUUUUCUCUAUUGUUUGCUUUGUGGUUCACUUAUGGCUUUAAUUGUGAAAUGGCAUGUUGAAGUUGGU